CAGAAAUAACAUGACUUCACCCGCAGGAAGAGAAAACUUAUGCAAGGAAGAGAGGAGAGCACCUACCCACAGGAGGGUCUCAUGCCAGUAUAUAGGCAGGCAGCAGCAAUGGGAAAUCAGCAAGACUCUCCAGGAGAAAAGUUUUGGCUGUGGCAUGGAAACAGUGGAUUCAUUGUCAUGCUAAGGAGAGGCUACCAUCGAAAUUUUAAGAACCCAGACUGAAACAGAUUAAAGUAAGAAAAGGAUCGGAAACGCUGUCACCCAGAUGUAAUAUGUUGGUUCUCUUCUGCAUCCACGGGAUCAUGUAACAAUCAAGUGACUUUUUAGAUCCAGUCUUCAUUAUUACUUCAUUAUUGCGGCUUGCUUAUCACCCUCUUCCCUGCUCCCCACCCUACCAACCCCACUAAUAUCCCAGUCUGUGUCCUAUACCUUUCAUCAUGCGCACCUGAUCACAGUGUGUCAAGAACAUGCACCCAGCAUCAAAGCAUGUCUCCCAUCAAUGGGCAACUGUGACACCCUGUCCUGCAGCCAGGUCUGGGGGCCAGAAAAUGC